CGGCGUGCUUACACAUGCAAGUCGAACGAAGAGCGAUGGAAGCUUGCUUCUAUCAAUCUUAGUGGCGAACGGGUGAGUAACGCGUAAUCAACCUGCCCUUCAGAGGGGGACAACAGUUGGAAACGACUGCUAAUACCGCAUACGAUCCAAUCUCGGCAUCGAGACUGGAUGAAAGGUGGCCUCUAUUUAUAAGCUAUCACUGAAGGAGGGGAUUGCGUCUGAUUAGCUAGUUGGAGGGGUAACGGCCCACCAAGGCGAUGAUCAGUAGCCGGUCUGAGAGGAUGAACGGCCACAUUGGGACUGAGACACGGCCCAGACUCCUACGGGAGGCAGCAGUGGGGAAUCUUCCGCAAUGGACGAAAGUCUGACGGAGCAACGCCGCGUGAGUGAUGACGGCCUUCGGGUUGUAAAGCUCUGUUAAUCGGGACGAAUGGUUCUUGUGCGAAUAGUGCGAGGAUUUGACGGUACCGGAAUAGAAAGCCACGGCUAACUACGUGCCAGCAGCCGCGGUAAUACGUAGGUGGCAAGCGUUGUCCGGAAUUAUUGGGCGUAAAGCGCGCGCAGGCGGAUUGGUCAGUCUGUCUUAAAAGUUCGGGGCUUAACCCCGUGAUGGGAUGGAAACUGCCAAUCUAGAGUAUCGGAGAGGAAAGUGGAAUUCCUAGUGUAGCGGUGAAAUGCGUAGAUAUUAGGA
rnacentral:rRNA from 1 species